rnacentral:rRNA from 1 species
UCCUACGGGGGAGCAGCAGUGGGGAAUAUUGCACAAUGGGCGCAAGCCUGAUGCAGCGACGCCGCGUGAGGGAUGACGGCCUUCGGGUUGUAAACCUCUUUCGCCAGGGACGAAGCGUAAGUGACGGUACCUGGAGAAGAAGCACCGGCCAACUACGUGCCAGCAGCCGCGGUAAUACGUAGGGUGCGAGCGUUGUCCGGAAUUACUGGGCGUAAAGAGCUCGUAGGCGGUUUGUCGCGUCGUCUGUGAAAUUCUGCAACUCAAUUGCAGGCGUGCAGGCGAUACGGGCAGACUUGAGUACUACAGGGGAGACUGGAAUUCCUGGUGUAGCGGUGAAAUGCGCAGAUAUCAGGAGGAACACCGGUGGCGAAGGCGGGUCUCUGGGUAGUAACUGACGCUGAGGAGCGAAAGCGUGGGGAGCGAACAGGAUUAGAUACCCUGGUAGUCCACGCCGUAAACGGUGGGUACUAGGUGUGGGGCUCAUUUCACGAGUUCCGUGCCGUAGCUAACGCAUAAGUACCCCGCCUGGGAGAGCCCCACG